rnacentral:misc_RNA from 1 species
CCUCUUUCUGGGGCGACGCGGGGUGAACCAUGAAGCAAUCUCUGCGUCCCACUCCGCCCACAUUAGGUUGUGGUCGUGGAUUGGUCCGCAGGGCAUUCGCUUGAGCUCUCGGAUGCGGUGCAUCAUACGCGGGCACGGGGACUCACGUCCUCUAUUUGCCUGAACAAAAGCUUUCGUCGCUUAGUUGCGAACGAUUGCGAUCCCNGUUUCGAGUCCUC